AUUGAACGCUGGCGGCAGGCCUAACACAUGCAAGUCGAGCGGAUGAAGGGAGCUUGCUCCUGGAUUCAGCGGCGGACGGGUGAGUAAUGCCUAGGAAUCUACCUGGUAGUGGGGGAUAACGUCCGGAAACGGGCGCUAAUACCGCAUACGUCCUGAGGGAGAAAGUGGGGGAUCUUCGGACCUCACGCUAUCAGAUGAGCCUAGGUCGGAUUAGCUAGUUGGUGGGGUAAAGGCCUACCAAGGCGACGAUCCGUAACUGGUCUGAGAGGAUGAUCAGUCACACUGGAACUGAGACACGGUCCAGACUCCUACGGGAGGCAGCAGUGGGGAAUAUGGGACAAUGGGCGAAAGCCUGAUCCAGCCAUGCCGCGUGUGUGAAGAAGGUCUGCGGAUUGUAAAGCACUUUAAGUUGGGAGGAAGGGCAGUAAGUUAAUACCUGGCUGUUUUGACGUUACCAACAGAAUAAGCACCGGCUAACUUCGU
rnacentral:rRNA from 1 species